rnacentral:rRNA from 1 species
GGUGACCUCCUGGGAAGUCCUCGUGUUGCACCCAUU